rnacentral:rRNA from 1 species
UACUCCUACGGGAGGCAGCAGUAGGGAAUCUUCCGCAAUGGGCGAAAGCCUGACGGAGCAACGCCGCGUGAGUGAUGAAGGUCUUCGGAUCGUAAAACUCUGUUAUUAGGGAAGAACAUAUGUGUAAGUAACUGUGCACAUCUUGACGGUACCUAAUCAGAAAGCCACGGCUAACUACGUGCCAGCAGCCGCGGUAAUACGUAGGUGGCAAGCGUUAUCCGGAAUUAUUGGGCGUAAAGCGCGCGUAGGCGGUUUUUUAAGUCUGAUGUGAAAGCCCACGGCUCAACCGUGGAGGGUCAUUGGAAACUGGAAAACUUGAGUGCAGAAGAGGAAAGUGGAAUUCCAUGUGUAGCGGUGAAAUGCGCAGAGAUAUGGAGGAACACCAGUGGCGAAGGCGACUUUCUGGUCUGUAACUGACGCUGAUGUGCGAAAGCGUGGGGAUCAAACAGGAUUAGAUACCCUGGUAGUCCACGCCGUAAACGAUGAGUGCUAAGUGUUAGGGGGUUUCCGCCCCUUAGUGCUGCAGCUAGCGCAUUAAGCACUCCGCCUGGGGAGUACGACCGCAAGGUUGAAACUCAAAGGAAUUGACGGA